UCAAGAGCCUUGUGCUGUGCCUGUCUUCUCCUCUAGCACAUUAUCCCAUGUUGCCUACUGCACCCAGGCACGAGACAAGCUGCAAGUUGCAAUGUGCAGUACACUGCACUAUGUGAUACGUGUCCUUUUGAGACACGCAAGCAGAAGGAUCAUGAAAACGAGUCUUUCCUUUUGGCUAUUUGAUUUUUUGCCACUUAAAGGACACCGGCAACAUUGAACUUAUGCUUGCAGACACAGUUCUACCCAUCUUAAGAAGAGACUUUGCAACAGUGCACUGAACUGAGUGACGGGUGUAGAAUUAAAAGACAGAAGAAUACGCGGUCUGCUGCUUGCGAUGGGGCAGAUCCUCUACAAGAACAACACUCUUCUUUGCUGGAGUACUGGCACUUUUCAGAGGGCAACAUUCACUGUAAUUACUAAAAUGUACCCACCUUUGUCCAAGUAAGAAAAGGCUGUUGUUGCAUGUAUAAUGUGGUUUUAGUUUUUAAUGCCAGAAAUGAAUCAGUAAACAUAGUUACAUUAUGGUAUGCUGUUUCUUAUUCUGUACCCAUAGUAACCAAAUUAAUCUCAAGGCACUGCUGGCAUUAAUUCAAUCUGAAGCUCAUACUUUGGAUUUCACAUUGGUGUCUUCAUCCUAUUCUUCUUCUCAACUAAUAAAAUGUUAAUAUAUGGCAAUAUA